UUGGCCUCAGAUCAGGGAGGAUCACCCGCCGAAUUUAA
rnacentral:rRNA from 1 species